CUUUGACGGAUAAGAUCAGGGUCCCAGCAUAGUUAAAGACACAAGACAAUGGGUAAGCGUGAAGUGUCUACUACACAAAGGCAAGAUGAAGAAGAAAAGAAACAAGAGUGAUACAAUGUGAUAGGGUUCAGGACAUGCUAUCACCGAAUAUGGCAUCUUGGCUUUUAGGAAAACAGCAGAAGCAGGAUGGCCCCCAUUACCUUCCUAUUGCUCUUACUCUGAAACAGGCCAAAAAAACCUAGGAAGGAUUCUUUGACCUUCCCCUGGAGUUGGGCACAAAGCCUUCAUCUGAGAGGUGCUCUUCCUAUACCCAGAGGAAAGGAACAACCUUAUCUUUCUUUGUAGAUAUAAGGUACAGAGAGAAACAGGUAUAGAGAGAAACAUCUGAACAAACAAGCCUUGCUAGAUUCCCCCUAGUUUAUUACCAUUAGAUUACACUUUUCUAUCGAAUUAUACCUCGCCACAACUAUCCACUUGCUCAUCAAACCUAGCAUAAAAAAUACACGGAUAUAUCUGUUUCUUUGGGUCUUCAUUUCCAAUGAAUCCCAUGUAAUGUAAAACAUUUAUUAAAUCAAUUUUAAUGCUCUUCUCCUGUUAAAAGGUCUUUUGUUAUGGGGUCUCAACCACGAACCUAAGAUGGGAAGGAAGGAUAUUUCCUUUCUCCUACUGUUUCUGGCACCAAAUAAGGGGUGGCUGAGAUACCCUACUUGCUUCAGAGCCUGCAGAUGAGAUCCUGGAGUACCUGUAAAAAGCUGGUGCAAGGUAAGAACUCUUACCAAGGUCAGAUGUCCUGGAUCUCUGCCUGUAGUGUCUGGUCAAGAGAAGGUAAAAUCCUCCUUUUCCCUUCCUUUCCAAAUUCAGCAAAGCAGGAGAAAAACAUUUGUUUGCAUUGUAGCUCUGAUUAAAUUUGAUUUGGGGGUACCUAUUAGUUUUAGGUAGUCUUUUUUUUUUCCCCCUCAAGGUCGGCAAUAACGUUCCUGUUUGUCUUGUCUUGUAUCGUAAGAACUUAGCUUUGGGUGUUCAUUUCCAUAUGAAGGCUCCCGAGUCACAUAAAAAUUAUAUUAAUUUCUAUGCUUUUCUCUUGUUAAUCUUGCAUUAUAGGGGCCUCUACCAUGAAACUAAGAUGGGAAGAAACAUUUCUUUUCCCCCACACAUGCUAAACUAAAUGGUAAAGGGGACAAAAUGGUGUUUUAGAAAUGAAGUUAGGCCUAAUCCACAAUUAUUGGAUACUUGGCAAUUUAGAAAAUUGAAGACAACCAAGCAGAAAAAUUUCAAGACCAUGGGUAACAGUGAAUGAUACCCUUAAUGCUUCUUAACCUUCUUUACAUCAUGGCGCAUAUAGAAAAUCAUAAUAUUUAAGUGGUACAGUUAGGAUUGUUGUUUCUGAGAAGUGGCUGCUUGGCUUUGGACUAUAUGUCCCAGCUUUCUUUGUAUCGAAGUGUGGUUAACAAUGGAUUAUGAACAGAAAUAAUCUGUGGCACGAUUGAAUGAAGGUGGUGAAAAAGUAAGUGUCAGACCCCUAGGAGGGCCUUGCUGGCUAAAUUAUCCCAUGAAAACAUGCCACCUGCUGACCAGAAACAUUAACUUUUUACCCUUUCAUAAGCAAGAAACUACUACUGUGUUACACUAUUAGAAUGUUGGAGCUUAUUACAACUCCUAGCAAUAUCUUAACUAAAAGAUACCUCAAGGACUGAGAUGAUCAAUAUUUCCACUCACCUAUAAUCUGUUCACAGCAAAUGGUGUGCCCCAGUUGGAAAACUGCCUGAAAUCACCCAGGUAAUUCAUUACAUAAAUGAAUGAAGUAGGAGUGUGGGGGAAAAGCCUUCCUUCAGUUUAUCACUAAGUUUCUAGUUCAUUAAGGGGACAUAUUUCAAGAGAGA
rnacentral:lncRNA from 1 species